AUUGAACGCUGGCGGCAGGCCUAACACAUGCAAGUCGAACGAGUGGCGGACGGGUGGGUAAUGUCUGGGAAACUGCGCGGUGGAGGGGGAUAACUACUGGAAACGGUAGCUAAUACCGCAUACCAUCGGAUGUGCCCAGAUGGGAUUAGCGAGUGGGUGGGGUAACGGCUUACCAAGGCGAUGAUGCCUAGCCGGGUUGAGAGAAUGAUCGGCCACAUUGGGACUGAGACACGGUCCAGACUCCUACGGGAGGCAGCAGUGGGGAAUAUUGGACAAUGGGCGAAAGCCUGAUGCAGCCAUGCCGCGUGUAUGAAGAAGGCCUUCGGGUUGUAAAGUACUUUAAGCGAGGAGGCGUUACUCGCAGAAGAAGCACCGGCUAACUCCGUGCCAGCCGCCGCGGUAAUAC
rnacentral:rRNA from 1 species